rnacentral:rRNA from 1 species
CCUACGGGAGGCAGCAGUCGGGAAUUUUGCGCAAUGGGGGAAACCCUGACGCAGCAAUACCGCGUGUGGGAUGAAGGCCUUCGGGUCGUAAACCACUUUUCUCGGGGACGAUAAUGACGGUACCCGAGGAAUAAGCCACGGCUAACUACGUGCCAGCAGCCGCGGUAAUACGUAGGUGGCAAGCGUUGUCCGGAUUUACUGGGCGUAAAGCGCGCGCAGGCGGUGAAUGAAGUCGAAAGUGAAAGCCCCGGGCUCAACUCGGGAACAGCUUUCGAAACCAGUUCACUUGAAGGUGGAAGAGGGAAGUGGAAUUCCGAGUGUAGCGGUGGAAUGCGCAGAUAUUCGGAGGAACACCAGAGGCGAAGGCGACUUCCUGGUCCAAUCUUGACGCUGAGGCGCGAAAGCUAGGGGAGCAAACAGGAUUAGAUAUCCUGGUAGUCCUAGCUGUAAACGAUGGAUACUAGGUGUUGGAGGUUUUAAACCCCCUCCGGGUUGCCGCAGCUACGACAUUAAGUACUACCGUCCGUCGGGUAGGUACGGUCCGGCGACGGACGUAAACCUACAACGAAGUUAGUACGGCGUGAGACGUGCCGACGGACGACGACGAGGGAGUAGG